rnacentral:rRNA from 1 species
CGCGCAGGCGGAUCUGCCAGUCUGUCUUAAAAGUUCGGGGCUUAACCCCGUGAUGGGAUGGAAACUACAGAUCUAGAGUAUCGGAGAGGAAAGUGGAAUUCCUAGUGUAGCGGUGAAAUGCGUAGAUAUUAGGAAGAACACCAGUGGCGAAGGCGACUUUCCGGACGAAACUGACGCUGAGGCGCGAAAGCCAGGGAGCGAAG